UACGAAGGGUGCGAGCGUUGUUCGGAAUGAUUGGGCGUAAAGGGUUCGUAGGCUGGAUUGUAAGUGAGAUGUGAAACCCCCGGGCUUAACCUGGGACCUGCAUCUCAGACUGCAGUUCUUGAGUGUUGGAGAGGGUAGUGGAAUUGCUGGUGUAGGAGUGACAUCCGUAGAGAUCAGCAGGAACACCGGAGGCGAAAGCGACUACCUGGCCAAAGACUGACGCUGAGGAACGAAAGCGUGGGGAGCAAACAGA
rnacentral:rRNA from 1 species